GACAAAAGGAUGGGUGAAGACACCAAGUGGAAGCUUUUGGUGAGGAGGGUGGUGUCUGCAAAAGCUAUGUCUUCAUUGUGUCAGUCGUCAAAGAAGAACAAAUGUGAUGGAGAAGCAAGAGGAUUAGUCAGGAACAGAACAGGAAUGAGUUGGGGUUUGUAGAUAAUUAUGAAGAUUAGUUCGUCCUUAAAGUCGUAUUUGUUCAUUUGUUUCUUUUUGUAUGGUUGAAGUCUCAAGGGUAUACAUUCAUGUAUCAUUUGAUCGGUGUAGAUAGAGGGUUUAGUUUGUAGACGAGUAAGCCCUUUUAAAUUGGCAGUGUGUAGGCCACAUUUGUUUGUUUAUUUUACCUCAAAUAUCAGCAUGUAAUAAUAGACGGUUAAAUAAAUGUUGUCUGACUUAAAGAGGUGUUUUCAUAGCUCAUGUGGGUUACAAGAGAUGAAUUUAAGGUAAUGACCAUGGUUAUUGACAAGUUUACAUAGAAACUUGGAUUGAAAAUUAGAGUGAAAGUAAGUAAACCAACUGACCAAGUGCGGCUGGUUAGAACAAGUUCUUUUGUCACACAAGACCAAAAUUUAAGUUCAGUGUUACACUAAGUGAGUGACUGGUGUAACUGUAGCGGUUGCAGGAGUUUGCGGAUGCAGAUGGUAGCAGUUUAAGCGAUUUUAAGAGAUAUGUACAAUACAUCGGUUAGAAAUUGGUGCGUUUACGAGAUAUUUAUGACUGAUUAACCACCAAAUACAACAACGGUUAAAUAAUAAAUUAACAACAUUUAUAUUUUAUAUAAUUAUAAAAAUAUUAAACAUCAUAAUAUUAUAAUAAAUUGAAACAUUUUAUUUUUAUAAUUAUUUUUUUUUAAUUUUAUUUUUAAAAUUAUAGAAAAUAUAGAAAACAUAUUAUAAAUUUUAUUUUCAAUUUAAAAUUUUUAUUUUUAUUUUUGUAUUUAUAUUGUUUUAAAAAAAUUACAAAUUUUUGAAUUUAAGCGGUUUAGAACGGGUUGAGUGAUUAUUGCAAAACGUUAACAACCGCUACCAACCGCAAAAGCUGAGUUGGCGGGUGGUAGCGUGGAAACCAGUCAUGCCCGAACAAUUUAUGUUUCAUGGAGCCACUAUAAAGAUAAUUAAAGGUUGGUUCAGAUUUAAAGAAAAAUAUCUAAAUAUGUGACAAAAUAAUAACAUUAAAUCUAUCAUAAACAAAAUAAUAAUGAAAAGUUAAAAGAAGAUGGCGAUAGAAAAUGAUAGAAAGAUAAUUCUCAGACGGAAAAACUCAAAGAAAUUCGAAUAUGACAUUUAUCAUUAUGUGAAUGGUCUUUGUUUACAUUUUAGUUAAAUUAUUAUUCAAAACUAAUAAAAAUGAAUGAGAUAUUUUUGUUAUAAUAUCUGUUUUUGUUUGGUAUGCAUGUUAAGAAUUGUAUAAUCAAUAAUCACCAUGAUAACCAAUUUCUGGUUUGCCUUUUGCUUACUUCAAGGACAUGUCUUCAUAUAAAAAAAUACUUGUUUUUUUUUGUGUAGAGGGGCUCUCCACAUGGAAAUUGAAAAGUGAAGGUGGAAAGGGAGGAUGAUUGUUGCCCAAGAGAAGAAGGCGGAGUGGGACUUAGGAAACUAAAGGAGGUCGUUGAGGUAGCAUCACUGAAAUUAAUAUGGCGAUUCCUUACCAAGUCUGGUUUCUUGUGGGUAAACUGGGUUCAGAAGUAUUUAGUUGAUGGUCCAUGGAAUUGGAGAAAACUAUUAAAGUAUCGGCCUAUUGCUCAAACUUUUAUCCAGUCUGAGAUUCGAGAUGGUUAGGCAAUGAGAUUCUAGCUGCAUAAUUUGCUUCCUUUAGGCAGGCUCGUUGACAUAACCAUGCAAAGAGGCAUGUUGAAGCUUGGCACUAGAUGGUUUCCUCAUGUAUGUGAUGUUGCAGUUAGAUUUGAAUGGCGGCUCCAUAACACGCAAAAUCGUAUACUGAAGGGAACGAUUGACAAAAUUAGAACCUUUUCAAUCUCUCUAGAUCAAGGGAUAAAGAUGGGAUGUUGUGGAACAGUGGAAGCAUGGUCAAGGGGACUAUCAACCUAUAUUUUCCUCUAGCAACACUAGGAACGAAACUAGAAUAUCGGAAAGAGCCUAAGACUGGAGUAAGUUUCUUUGGUUCUCCCAAGGCGUUGCCUAGGUUUGCUCUCAUAAUUUGGUUGGUAACUAGAGAUCGUAUAACAACAAGAGAGCGUAUGAAAAACUGGGUUGUGGAUUAGGUCGUGUUUAUUUUAUGGAGAGUCGCUUGAAUUGUGGAACCAUCUUUAUUUUGCAUGUCCAUACACCUACGCAUUGUGGCUUGAAUUUUCUGGGAAUUCUGUUCGGUGAGGAUCCCGAUUAAGACUGGGACUACACAUUGGAGAUGUUCACAAACCGCACAUAUGAUCGGCUAACUUAAUUUUAUCUUCUUGUUAUUAGUAUUUCAAGUUUCUAUUUAUGUCAUAUUGAUAUAGAGAAAAAAAAGCAGGUACAAUCAACUUUUCAAAUGUCUAACACAACUUGGGCGUUGAGAUUGAUGAGGUAGUGGGUAAUCAAAUUGCAUCAACUCGGUAUUUCGAGAAGCUUAAACUCCACGUCUUGCUUCAGAAAUAGUAUAGUUCAAGAAGAACCAACACGGAUUGAUUAUUUAUUUCCUUUAAAUGAUUACAAGUUAAUAAUGCUUUGUAAUAUCUUUCUGAUAAUUAAAUAAAAAACGAAUUUCUAUGGUUAAAGAUGUUCUAACCGAUGUCAAGCGGCCGAUUCUGUAGGUUAUUUUUGCUAUUAAACCUACUGUCUGAGUUCAGAUCUAUAGAUUAUGUAGAAAAGCACUUAGCAAACAUGCGUACUUAUUUUGAUGGUUCAAAUCAGAUACGCUCCAGACCAAACGAGGUUGGAUUAAGGUUCGCUUAUGUAGCCCAUUGGUCAAUAUGGCAAGUAACAAGGACAUGAAAAUCGACACAAUGUACAUCAUAAUAAUGAAGUAAGAAAGAAAGUGUCAACAUGGCAUUUUAAAGGAAAAGAAAACCCAUGGAAUAAGAUAUAAAACACAUGCAAUAACAAACUCAAAAGUAGGAUAUUCAACAUAUUAUUCAUAUUAUAUAUCUUCCACAAUAUAAGAAUUCUUGACGUCCCAUCUUUUAAUGAAUCAUGUGACUCACAAUCUCUAGAGUUCGUCUUUAACAGCAUCAGAAGCUAUUGGCUCAUGAAUAGUAUUAGUUUCUCCAGAGGAACUAGAAGAGAGCUUGGUGGGAUAAGAAGCCUCCAUUGCUAUACCGCAACGUCCUUCGUUCUCAGAUAUUCCUCUUUCAAUCCUAACAUAGCCUCCUUCUCCCCAUUCAGGACCCCAUGAGUUUCUCACUAUCCAAUAUUUUGUUCCGCUUUCUGUCUCUCCGUACCCGACAAUCGCCACUCCUUUCUUGUAUCUUUGUUUUUCUUCACGCGUAGUUUGACGGAGGAUGAGUUGGAGAAAUAUGGGAUCCAUCUUUUAGCGUUGUCUCACGUGUACAUGGUGGCGAAUCUGAAGCAACGCUGCUCAAGAGGCGUCGUUGAUGGUUUAACUGCGGAGAACGUUGUCGACGUUCUCCAGCUAGCUCGGCUCUGUGAUGCUCCAGAUGUUUGUCUUAAAUCUAUGCGUCUUAUACAGUCGCAGUUUAAGACUGUUGAACAGACCGAAGGAUGGAAGUUUCUCCAGGAACACGAUCCUGUUCUUGAGCUCGAUAUCCUCCAGUUCAUCGACGAUUCCGAAUCGGUAACUAUUUCAUCUUUUCUUUAGUUGUUUUAAAAUACAUAAUAUGUGUUUUUUGUUACUACCAAAAGGAAUAAAAACAUAAUGAAACUUAUAAAAAUAUAGCAAAUAUGUAUUUUAAAUAUAUAAUUAUUAUUUUAAUUAAAAUUUUGAGAAAAAUAUUGGUUUAUUCGGUCUGGUGUGUUGCAUUUUUGUGAUUUGUGUGUUGGAUGAUGAUUUAAUGCAGAGGAAGAAAAGAAGACGUAGGCAUAAAAAGGAGCAGAAUCUGUACAUGCAACUAAACGAGGCAAUGGAGUGUAUAGAGCAUAUAUGCACCCAAGGUUGUACAUUGGUCGGUCCAACAAACAUUGUAGGCGUUAACAAGUCAACGACUGUUCCGUUUGGGGGGAAGUCAAAGCCUUGUAAGGCGGUUUCCACGUGUUACGGCCUCCAGCUUUCGAUACGUCAUUUUGCGGUAUGCAAGAAAAGGAGUAACGAGAAUGGUUGUCUUCGUUGCAAGCGGAUGCUUCAACUCCUAAGACUCCAUUCUUCUAUAUGUGAUCAGCCAGAAUCUUGUCGCGUCCCUCUUUGCAGGUAUGUCUCCUAACGUUUUCUUUUAUCGGUUGAAAAAAGUUUUGCGUUAAUUUGAAAUUAAUUACUUUUCUUAGAAAGAAAAUUAUCUUUUGAAAUUAAUUAUUCUUCAUAUAUUAAAAAUCAACACUGAUUUGAUAGUAUACAAAAAAGUUUCACUUUUUGAAAGAGACACAUCUGGUUUGGCUUUACGUUGACACUAGUUCGUUGUCACCCACCUUUAGAAACUUUGCAAAUUGCUGUGAGAAUUGAUGGUGAACCUUUGUGUUGAUAUUUGCAGAUAUUUAGAAUUUCAUGUGUCUUAGUCAACUUUUUUAUUUUUAUUUUUUUGGAGCAGGCAAUUUAAGAAAAGGGUAGAACAAGACAAAAGGAUGGGUGAAGACACCAAGUGGAAGCUUUUGGUGAGGAGGGUGGUGUCUGCAAAAGCUAUGUCUUCAUUGUGUCAGUCGUCAAAGAAGAACAAAUGUGAUGGAGAAGCAAGAGGAUUAGUCAGGAACAGAACAGGAAUGAGUUGGGGUUUGUAGAUAAUUAUGAAGAUUAGUUCGUCCUUAAAGUCGUAUUUGUUCAUUUGUUUCUUUUUGUAUGGUUGAAGUCUCAAGGGUAUACAUUCAUGUAUCAUUUGAUCGGUGUAGAUAGAGGGUUUAGUUUGUAGACGAGUAAGCCCUUUUAAAUUGGCAGUGUGUAGGCCACAUUUGUUUGUUUAUUUUACCUCAAAUAUCAGCAUGUAAUAAUAGACGGUUAAAUAAAUGUUGUCUGACUUAAAGAGGU
rnacentral:lncRNA from 1 species